GCAGGAGUCGGGCAGUGGUACUGCAGCUCCUCUGGCAGCUUUGCAGCUCAGUUGGGAAGCAGAAGAUGUGGAUGUGAAAGAAGACCUCCGUUGCUGGGACGUUCCCCUGUUCUUCCCCCAGCUGUCCCCUUGCCUCAGCCUGGAUUCCCCUUGCAUUCCUGUAGGAUUCCCUUCCAUCCCCCUGGCUGCCCCUUGCUUUGCCCAAGGUUGCCCUUUCCUUUCUCAUGACAGCCCACCCAUCAUUCCCUCAGAGUCCAUAUAUCCCUCCCAGUGUUUCCCAGCAAGACCCCUAGAGACACCCUGUAGCCCCCCAGAGAGCCCUGGAGCCCCUCAAGGACCCCCUCAGACGCAGUACACCUCCCCCAUAGCUGGCCCAUACCCACAUGGAGCCCCACAGUCCCCAGCAGCACCCCAUGUCCCCCACUGGGCUUUCACGGAAUCCUCCUAUUUCCUCCCUCAGACCUGCUUUACACCUCCAAGAUCGCCCCUGGGAACUCACUGGGAACCCCCAUGUUCCCUGACAGGUCCCCAUCACCAUGCCAGGACCCCCAAAGCCCACCUUUGGCCUCUCCUCCCCCCAACCUGCCUCCAGAUCCCGUACAACCUCACAGUGCUGUGGCAUGG
ensembl:lncRNA